AAAUUUUAGCAAAUACUGCUCUUAAAAUUAAAGGAAUUUACCAUGUAGAAAAUACGCCAAUAACUUAAAGAAAAAUUUUCCAAAGUUUUUUGUUUAAUGUCUCACAGCUAUAACUUAAAAACAUAAUUAAUUCUCUAUCGUUUAGACUAUUGAAUAAUUUUUUACUCAACUAGAAAUACAGGGUGUGUCACACAAUUAGUCUUGCGCGUAAUGUACACAGCCUAAAGUCAUAAAAGAUUAGAUAUCAAAUAUGAAAAAAUACACAUGUAAUUAUUUAAUUAUUUAGAAACCCAUGACAGUAGUUGUUAAACUAAACACUGUUGAAUUAAUAGUCAUAAAUUGCCGUUUUCACAAACAAUUUUCAUGUGUUCGGUCAGGAGACGGAAUGAAUAUGAUUCUAAUCUUUCGAACUUAAUGACUAACUAACUAAAAACGUUUCAAUUUUUUGAAGAGGUGAAUAAACUAGAGAAAGUUGUCCAAUUUUUCAAAAUUUGUAAUCGAGUUUGUAUCGGAAUAUGUAUUGUUGAUUGCAUUUUACAAGCACAGCCUUCGUAAAAUACGUAAAACACUGUAUUUAUUUUUGCCUCGGCCAUACAACUUGGAACACCUUGUACACGUCAGGAACUAAUAAUCACACAGAAUUUUCCCUGUCCAUGUGAAUAUUUUCUUUGUUGUAUCUUCUUCAAGUGCAAAACGAACGAAAAUGUGUUGCUUGGAGUAUUGAAAAAAAUAUAUUUGUGACGUCUGUCCUAGCCAGACCAGUUUCAACAAAUUCUAAUGUAUUUUUAAACUUAAAUUUAAAUUGUUUUUCGUGUUAGAAACAGUCGUGAAGUGGUCGAAAGCACUGUAUCCCUUGUUGUCCUUAAUACCGCUAGUGCCAUCUAUGCCCCAGCGCCAAAGCAGCGUCCGGCAAAACCUCCUCCAGUCAUCGAAAAACACAAAAAUUCAAUUAAAGAGUUAUUUGGUGUAGCAAUGUAGCGGUGUAUCCUAAUAAAGCACCACGUUGCAGCAAAAAGCCAUUCAAAUAUGAAAUAUUCAAUUAAACAAAAAUGUAUCCUCACUAUCGAUCCUAAUUGGGCGAUGCAUUCUUCGUGACGAUAUCGCAUUCCACUGACAGAGCAGUGAUUUAAAACAUCACAAAUAAGAUUAACAUUCUUGGGGCUGUCGCGAUUUAGCUCAAGUUGAAGCGACGCUGACCAGUUCUGCGCCAACGAUCGGUCAGUGCAGUGACUAAAAAUCUCCAUCGGUUUUGCUUCCAAAAAUUUCCAGUUGUGUCAGGUGUAAAGACGACAGGAUGACGGUGAUUGAAAUAGAAACUGGGUAAAGCCCUGAAAACGUGGUUGCAUUGUCCAGUGUUCGAUGUUCGAAAUCUCGCAAUUUUCAAACGCAAACCAUUCUAAUCAAUGUUGGAACAAGCAACAGAGGAACACAGAAACAGCUAGCACAACAUCGACCGACCCUGAGGCACAGUUUGAUCAACUUCUCUCUCCAGUCAUUUGUACGACACGGGUGCCAACAAAUCCAGUCGCAGUGGCUUUGUCCUUCAGUUGAGCGAAUUUUCCGUCGGAGUUUCAACAUUACGCUAAUUUUCCAUCUCUAGCUUUUCCGUUGGCAUGUCACGAGUGGAAAAAAGACAGAACGUUUGCUAGUUUGAAGUAUCUGAAGCGGAAAAGCCCGUUCCAUCAGAUAUCACUUGUAAAAUGGCUCUCUACGUUGGAGAAAUAGGAUCUAUUGUUACCGCCAGGUGAAUAGCGUUAGACAUGCUGAAAUCUGUAAAUGAAACUGUUAUCGGCGGCGAACUCGGGAGAAGUUUCCACCAAAGGAAAAUGGGAGCUUUCAGAGUGCCAACUUUCCAUCUCGUAUUAGUUUUAAAUUGGAAAUGUACUUAAAUGAUUAGAUUUGUAAAAUGAACACCAGGGACUUCGUCAAAUGUAUUUUUCUCUAAUUAAUCUUGAUUAAACCAUUGCGUAUUGAAAAUCUGAUGAA